rnacentral:tRNA from 1 species
GCCUGACUGGCUCAAUUGGUAGAGUGUGUGACUCUUAAUCUUGGGGUUGUAAGUUUGAGUCCCAUGUUGGGUG